GACGAACGCUGGCGGCGUGCUUAACACAUGCAAGUCGAACGGAAAGGCCCCUUUGGGGGUACUCGAGUGGCGAACGGGUGAGUAACACGUGAGUAACCUGCCCUUGACUUCGGGAUAACUUCAGGAAACUGGGGCUAAUACCGGAUAGGAAUCCUUGCUGCAUGGUGGGGGUUGGAAAGCUUCGGCGGUUUUGGAUGGACUCGCGGCUUAUCAGCUUGGUGGUGGGGUAGUGGCUUACCAAGGCUUUGACGGGUAGCCGGCCUGGGAGGGCGACCGGCCACAUUGGGACUGGGAUACGGCCCAGACUCCUACGGGAGGCAGCAGUGGGGAAUAUUGCACAAUGGGCGGAAGCCUGAUGCAGCAACGCCGCGUGCGGGAUGACGGCCUUCGGGUUGUAAACCGCUUUCAGCAGGGGCGAAGCUUGUGGUGACGGUACCUGCAGAAGAAGCACCGGCUAACUACGUG
rnacentral:rRNA from 1 species